rnacentral:rRNA from 1 species
GGCGCAUUAGCUAGUUGGUGGGGUAAAGGCUUACCAAGGCAAUGAUGCGUAGCCGAACUGAGAGGUUGAUCGGCCACAUUGGGACUGAGACACGGCCCAAACUCCUACGGGAGGCAGCAGUAGGGAAUCUUCCACAAUGGGCGAAAGCCUGAUGGAGCAACGCCGCGUGGGUGAAGAAGGUCUUCGGAUCGUAAAACCCUGUUGUUAGAGAAGAAAGUGCGUGAGAGUAACUGUUCACGUUUCGACGGUAUCUAACCAGAAAGCCACGGCUAACUACGUGCCAGCAGCCGCGGUAAUACGUAGGUGGCAAGCGUUAUCCGGAUUUAUUGGGCGUAAAGGGAACGCAGGCGGUCUUUUAAGUCUGAUGUGAAAGCCUUCGGCUUAACCGGAGUAGUGCAUUGGAAACUGGGAGACUUGAGUGCAGAAGAGGAGAGUGGAACUCCAUGUGUAGCGGUGAAAUGCGUAGAUAUAUGGAAGAACACCAGUGGCGGAAGCGGCUCUCUGGUCUGUAACUGACGCUGAGGUUCGAAAGCGUGGGUAGCAAACAGGAUUAGAUACCCUGGUAGUCCACGCCGUAAACGAUGAAUGCUAAGUGUUGGAGGGUUUCCGCCCUUCA